rnacentral:siRNA from 1 species
CAAUUUUAGGAUAUCACCACUC